UGGCAGGAAGGAGAGGGAGAAGCAGACUCCCCAUGGAGCAGGGAGCCAGACGUGGGGCUCCAUCCCAGGACCCCGGGAUCAUGCCCUGAGCCGAAGGCAGAUGUGUCACCGACUGAGCCCCCAGAUGCCCCGGAAUGUUACUUCUGAAAUGAAAUAGGUGACAGAUAUUGUAACUUCUGUUUUUCUGUUUCUCUCCCUCCCUCCUCUCCCUCCAUCCCCCUCCCUUCCACCUCCCCCACUUUCUCUCUCUCUCUCUCUCUCGCUCUCGCUCUCGCUCUCGCUCUCACUCUCAACUCUGCUUACCUGCCUGCCCCGAUGGAGAAGUCCACCUGGCAAGAAACCAAAUCCUGCCAACAUGCAUCGGGCCUACUUGAAGCUGAGCCUGCCCUGGUCACGCCUUCAGAUGAGACCACAACCCGGUUCCUCCUGGAAGGUGGCCUUGUGAGACCCUGAAGUGGGACGCUCAGGGCUCAACCUCCUGACCCUGAGAUUCAUGCACGACCCGAGUCAAAAAUCAAGAACCAGACGCUUCACCUACUGCACCCUCGGCUCAACUCUGUGACCACACCCUGCCCCUCCGCUUCUAGAAGCUUCCUGCACCCCUUGGACUUUGCUUCCGUGAUCGGUUCUUCUCAGACUCUGGUGCUCCCGCCUCCCUCCGGUAACAACCCUCAUGCUGCCCGGGGGAUCCACCCUCGCCUCCCCCGCUCCGGGCUCCUCAUUCGAUCCCAUCUGCAGAGGCCCUUUAGCCGCCAAAGCUUCAGGGGAUUAGGACUCCGAGGGGGAGGCUACAAGGAGACCUGGACACGGAUGCAUUCAUUCAAGCUUCAAACGCUUAUUGAGCGCCUCCUGUAUGCCAAGCUGCUCUGAGCAUUGGAGACACAGCGGGGAGCAAGGCAGUGGUUCUGGCCUUCGUGCAGCACAGAUUGUAGGGACAGGAAACACAACCGGCAGAGCGCAGUGUCUGUGGUUGGCUGUCAGCGAGGCUCGGCCUGGGAGGGUGACAGCUCGGCGCCCGGCCCUGGACACUGGCGGCAAGCCUUGCCCACAGUGCCACACGCGCCUGGUCUCACGAAGGGCAACUUCGAGGCUGCUCAGCGGGGCAUGAAAUAACCUCAAGGUCCAUCUGCGAAGACGCCCCUUAAAUGUCAUUUCCAUCCUUCUCAAGUCUCCUGUGGGGGUGGGGAUGGGGGGAAGCUGUGACCCCUCUCCCACCUGCCGACCCCGCCACCGGCCACAGGACCCGUGUCUGCAGCCCGCCGCAACCAG